GCAAAAUAUAAAAGGAGGGUCCCCAGGAGUUCAGUGGUCCCUGAUCUGUCUACCUCAACAGAAAAUUUUGAAGGCCUGCCUGUGACAUUUCCCAAGGCUCCCGGAAGAGUUGAAGCUGUGUGAGUCCCGUGUGUUAUACACCCCAGCCUGCAUUCAUGGAGGACGAGCAGCCCACCCAUUCUAAGUGAGCGUGUGGGACAGGGAGGAUAAAAGCUGUGACUCCUAGGAGGUUCUUUGGAGAAGAAAGGCUGUAAGCAGCCUGGCUUCAUUAGGCGUGAAGACGGUCCAGUUAAACGAGCGGAGAGGUGAGGGUAUGUGUGAGUGUGCACGUGGGCGCUCCAUCGAGAGGGACAAGGCUGCUUGGGCAUCCCUUUUCUUUCUCUUCCCAGAGGCCUGACAAAGCCUGUCUGUUUUUGCCUAGCCACCAUUUGUAAAGACCUCGAGCUUCCCCUGGCUUCCCGCAAGGGGCAGGAGUGGGAGCCAUUCAUCACUGUCAGGAGAUGUGCUGCCCAAGGCAGGGAUGGCUCUCCUCCCUGCUGCUCCUGCAGCAAGAGCUGCAGAUCUUGAAAAGAUGCAGAACAUGCACAUUGCAAAGACUGUUCAUCACCAUGGCUCUGUGAGCCGGGGAGAGGCCACUCUCCGAAUGGUGCUGACCCAGUCUCCCUAUGGCUCCAGCCCCCCUUUCCUGCCUGGGGCUUGGAACAGGAAGCCUUUGAGGGGCUCAGUCUAGGUCCCAGACCAUCCUCAUACCCGAAAAUCUACUGAGGUUUGGGGUAAAAGUUCUCUGAGGCAGUGGCCAAGUCUUCACCCCAUCUCCGCAGAGUGGAGAUUUUGCUCUGUGUUCUGCGGCCAGACUGCUGCUAAGCCAGCCCGUAAUAAUCGUUAAACUAUGAAAACACAAGUUGCUGGGAGGAAAUGAAUACCAGCUUUCACUAGGGAAAGGCCUGCUUUCUUCUGAAGUAAUUAUAAAAUUAAAAUGUGAUAUUUCUCUGGUGAGUCUCAAAAGCUUCCCAGGGCGGUCCACAGCACAACAGAAAUGUCAGGAUUUGCAACAGAGUGGGACUGAGAAAUCCUUCUGCGCCCCAAAAACGCCAGUCAGAGACAUCCGCGAAUGAAUUCCAAAGAUUGGGUUAAGAGUGAUUAAGAGCAAAGAGAAGGAAAAGUAGAGACUUUGGAUUUUUCAAUGACUCUGUAAAACUCAAGAGUCGAGCCACUAGAAAAUGCAGACUUUCUAAGUAAGACUAAUACUGCCGAGCUAAUUAGACCCACAGGCAUGACCGACAUAUAAAUUCAAGCCCCAGAGAAGGGUGCUGUCCCUUUAAGAGCUGCCUGGGGAUCAGUGGGCAAGCUAAUGAGAAGUGUCAGUAAUGCAACUUUAUGAGGUGGCCUGAGGGAGGCGGGAGCCUGGGGUUCCUGUAACAGGGCUUCUGGCUUGACUCAAUAAAUCAAUUUGUAUUAAAUGUGGGUGCCACUCUGGAGUUGGCCGCAAGCCCUUCUCAUCUCUCUACUCCUCUGCUAUGAUCUACCUGGAUGUAUUGACAGAGGGCACAGAGGAAAGAUAAUACCCUCGGAACUCCGCCCCGGCAGCCCCCCACACACACUCUGGGCUGCCUCCAAUGGGUCUCUCUUUCCAGAAAGUGUUUGGAUUAUUGGUAAAAGCCCAAGGCUAUGGGGCUGGGUCUUUUCAUUACUGAGCUGGGCUCCAGGCUGUGGACUGUGAAUAAAGGUCACCCUGAAAAGGAACUGAAAGGCUUGGGACUGAACUUACUUUUUAAUCAGAUCCCCAGGAUCUGAGCUACUUCCCAAGAAGUAAAAGAAAAGGCGAGAAGGAAGGCAGCAACAUCUGGCAGCAACCUAGGGAGUGGUAGGGGGAGGCUGUGCUUCUGCGCUGAAAGGGAGGAUAGAAGACUAGGGGGACAAUGGAGGGAGGCUGGGAGGGUGCUUCUGUACAGAUUGGGGAGGGUGGCAUAGGGAGUAGUAGGGGGAGACUGGGAGGGUGCUUCUGCACAGAAUGGGGGGAGGGAGGAAGCUAUUUGGGUAGAUGAGGUGGGCUUCCCUUCAUGGUCAGCAGCAUGUAUUUUUUUUUCUUUCUGCCCAGCAAGGGGACAGCUGGAAAUGAGGUAGAUAUUCCUAAAUGCCAUGACAGAAGUCCCUAGGCAUUUGGAAGGUGGAGCAAAGCCCAUGCCCCAGCUACCUCAUUAAGGCCAUGACUUCCCUUUGUUUUUCCCUACUAAAUGUCUGUCUGUCCAUCUGUCCGUCCAUCUAUCUAGCUAUCUCUCAUCUAUAAGUCUAAUCUAAUAUCUAUUAAUCUAAUCCAAUCUAUUUAGAGAUAGGAUCUCAUCUAUCCCAGCCUGGCCUUAAGUCCACUAUAUGGCUGAGGAGGAUCUUGAAUUUCUAAUCCUCCUGCAUCCACCUGCUAAGUGCUGGGAUUAUGGACAUGUGCCACCAUGCCCCAUUUUUAUUGUGCCAGAGAUGAAACCCAGGGUCUCAUACACUGUAGGCAAGUCCUUAGCAUCCCUAGCUCCCUGCUCACCCUUCGCUGUGGGAUGCUCAGCUACAACUUCUGCCACAGCCUGACCAGACUCAUGCUCGCCCAUCAUCCAGACCACAGUUCACCUGAAAUGAAUGCUCUAACUUGCACCAUCUAAUCCAGUAGCCACUAGCUGGGUGUGGCUACUGAGCAAGUGACAUGUGGGCAGUGAGACUUGGUGAAUUAAUUUUUAAUUUUAUUUAAUUUUUAACUAACUGAAAUUUAAGUGGCCACAUGUGGCUGCUGGAUAUUAUGUUCGAGAGCAUAGGAAAAAAUGGAGAGGUUCCCUUCGCUUUUAUUGAGGCAGGGAAUGCUGAACCGAGAAAAUGAAGGCUGAUUUCAUUGGCUUCCCGGUGGAAAAAUCCCAAUUUGCUCAUAGCUUUAAGGAAACAGAGGAGGGGGAAAUUACACUGACACAUCAUUAACUUAGAAUCAUUAGAUGUUUAAGGACUGCAAGAGAUGAAAAUAAAAGGUCAAGAUCUCUGGGUUCUGCUUCUCCCAGAAGCUCAAAAACCAGAACAAUGCUUACCCAAGCCCCCUCUAGACACCGAGAGAAGCAUUUUACAAAUAAGGGACUUUGGCAGAGCAAAAAAUAUCAAAAUGUCUAUCACCCAAAGCAAUAAACCAUGUGAUCCCAUGUUGUCAGCACAUCAUCCACCCACUGCCCCCUCAACGGGGCCAUCGUGAACAUGACAGGUAGAGAGGCUUGGCUUGAACGAAGAAGUCUGGUGUGCACUGCUUAUACCCACCACCAUCUGGAAGAAACCUCACAUUUGCAUGAUGGACUUUUCUUCAUUGACCCUUGCCCUCUCUACAAAUCCCAUCAGCCCAGAGCAGCUGCUGGAGAAUCUGGCUUGAAGCCAGGGGUGAAGUCACAGCCUCCUCCCACACCAAUGCCAUCUUGGGCUCAGCACCCCAUGUGGCUGGAUGAAGGGCAAGGAGAACACUGAUCCCUACAUGAGAAAAGUGAAGUCGCCAGCAGUCCCCGGAGCAGGGACCCGGUGCCACAAAGCCAGCUGUGAGAAACUGUUGUUUCAAGUCGGUAACAAAGAUGCUUGCCAGCAAAUUACAGUCUAAGACAGCUCAGAGUGCUGCGGGCUGGGCCACGGAGCUCUCGAGCUGACAGGAUGCCAGCUACGCCAGCUACAGCGAGCAUCCCGCAAGAGCAGCUCCACACAAAGGGCCAGGGAGGAGGGGCACCAGCCUGGGGAUUCUGGCACCCAGACCAAUGACACAAGGCACAGAAGGUCCAUAAAGGACUGCUGAGGAGACACCCGUGUGAAGGGAGCUCCUCUGCUUACAUUUCUAGCAGAGCUCAAAACUGAAUGGAGAUGCCUGUGGGUCAUGAGACCCCUUUGGGCGGGUCCGACGACCCUUUCACAGGGGUCACAGAUCAGAUCUCUCCACUACAAUUCAUGAAAGUAGCAAUUAAGGUUAUGAAGUAGCAACGAAAAUAAUUUUAUGGCCACGGCAGGAGGAACAGUAUUAAAGGGUUCAGCCUUAAGAAGGUAGAGAGCCACUGCCCACUGCCUGCUGCCCUAGGGAAGAGCUGGCUGGCCUAUGACAUACAAGGAGUCCUGAAAUAAGAUGGAGAUACUCGAGCUCCAGUCCACGUGCUCAACAGAUGAUGAAACAAGGGGGACUCAAUACUCCGUCAUCAGCAAGCAGUACAGAAGACAGUUGUGCACACUUAAAAUGACACAUCUCAGGGCUGGAGAGAUGGCUCAGUGAUUAGAGCACUGGCUGCUCUUGCAGAGGUCCUGAGUUCAAUUCCCAGCAACCACAUGGUGGCUCACAACCAUCUGUAAAUGAGAUCAGUGCCCUCUUCUGGUGUGUCUGAAGACAGCUAUAGUGUACUUAUAUAUAAUAAGUAAAUAAAUCUUUAAAAAAAUAAAGUACGAUGACACA